rnacentral:rRNA from 1 species
UGGGGAAUAUUGCACAAUGGGGGGAACCCGUGAUGCAGCGACGCCGCGUGAGGGAAGAAGGUUUUCGGAUUGUAAACCUCUGUCUUUGGUGACGAAAGAUGACGGUAGCCAAAGAGGAAGCUACGGCUAACUACGUGCC